ACUGUUUAAGAGAAAAGGAGAAAUAUCUGCCCGGCAGGAAAAGGCACGAACGAUUUCCCAGCGCCUCGCCAGCCACAGGGGCGCGCGACACCGACUGCAGAGGUGCUACGUUGUAGGGAAAUCUUACUCGAGCAUGAACUGUAUUUUCAAGGGAGCCGUGUUUGCAGUGCUUUUGUUUUUCAUCCCAGCACUGACUUCAGCCUUAAAGGAUGGACAUGAUAUAAGCUCCUCUACUUCAACGAUGAUCCGGUUUAACCCUGUUUUUCAUUUGAAAAAAAGGAAACGUCCAGCAUUCCCUCGUAUCCGGUACUAUCAAUAAACCCACAAUAAAUACAAA